rnacentral:rRNA from 1 species
AUGUUUUUAUUUUGGCUCCUGGCUGUAGUCUACAACUGGGUGUUCCAACAAUUUAUUUUUGGCAUGGUCUUCUUUGCUACCAUUUCAUGUGUUAUCCUCAUUAUUUGUUGCUUGAUUCUCUAUGCAAGAAUCCUGCCUCAUGGUCCAACAUAUAUGGUCACAUAUUUGCUCCAGGGAUUUAAUUUUAGUCAGAGCCGAUCGACAAAUGAUCAGUCGAUCUCUGCUCCUAUCUCUGCUCCUAAAGGGGGUUGUACGUCGUACGCCCCCUCCACCGCACCACCAAACAAAGGAAGGCAUCAACCCCACCGAUUUUUUUCCUAUAAGAAAGCCCACCUUCUCCAAUAUCUGGUUUUUUAUUAG